rnacentral:rRNA from 1 species
UACGAAGGGUGCAAGCGUUACUCGGAAUUACUGGGCGUAAAGCGUGCGUAGGUGGUUCGUUAAGUCUGAUGUGAAAGCCCCGGGCUCAACCUGGGAACUGCAUUGGAUACUGGCGAUCUGGAGUGCGGUAGAGGGUGGCGGAAUUCCCGGUGUAGCAGUGAAAUGCGUAGAUAUCGGGAGGAACAUCCGUGGCGAAGGCGGCCACCUGGACCAGCACGUGACACUGAGGCACGAAAGCGUGGGGAGCAAACAGG